UGUGGGCGUGCCAUGUGCAGAGGCCCGUGCGCUGGGCCGGGGGAGCCUGCAGAGAGGGGCUUAUCCCGAGGGAGGUAGGCCGUCUGCCCUGACCACGAGGGAGUGGCAGCAUCUAUCUGUGUUUCCGAUCUCCGGCCACGUAGGGCGAACAUUCUGUGCAGAGAGCAGCGGCAGGCCCGUGCGGUCAUCCAGAGGGCCGUGGUGGGGCUCGGUGUACGGCCGUGGUGUGGGCGGGGGAGAGGGUGGCGGGGGGCAGGCACCCAGGAGUGGGACUUAUGUGCCUCCGGGCUCUUGAGCUGAGAAAGAGAGCAAGACAGGUGGGCUGCAGGUGGGGCAUGACCGCCCAGUGGGGUUAGGAAUCCAACUUGGGAGGAGGCUACCAGGAGGCAGUGCAGAAGGUACGAGAAAGGCAUGGACUGCAGGCGUGGUUUGGCACGAAAUCAGCCUGAAGACCGUACGGACGCCAUGAUGUGGACGGGGCCCCACGCAGACCACGGAGGGGGAGGACGUGAGACGUGGAGGACUGAGGCUGUGACCAGGCUGCUCGAAGAAGCAGCAGGGAUGUUGACGCAGCAGAGCGCCCUGAGCGGCCUGGUGGGCCCACGGCCCAGCUCCCGGCGGCCGGGCCAUCGCCACCUCAGCCGAACCCCAGGACCUGGGCUCUGGCAGGAGCCAAGUGAGCGUUUUUACUUCAGCCUUUCCAGCCUGUCGUUGGAGCAGGGUUGUCUCAUCCUUCAGGAAUGUGGCAGGAAUUUGCAGACUUCAAGCCAUCCUCAAAGAAAAGGCCCUUUGUUAAUCGGGAAGCUGGCACCAUUUCCAGCCCCUGGCAAGGCGGCCAGCAGGCGGCACCGGCCGUGCAGGUGGGAGAAGGAGGAGUGGAGAGGGGGGAAGGGUGGAUGCCUCCCGGACUCCAGGUGGCUCUCGGAUCAGGGCUCACGAGUCGCUCCAGACGCGAGGUCGUUCGUUUUCUGAGACCGAGAGUGCCCGGAGCGGGAGCAGUCCGUGCCCCCACACAGGCUCCGGCUCCACCCCUGCGGCCCUGCCAAUACUUCGGGUAAACGCGGCCAAGCCUCCCAGCGGAGAAGCAUGGCUUCGGAGCCCUGGACUCAGGAGCAGGCCCCACCGCCAAAGACAGCACUUCCUUGGAAAUACACUUCCCACCUCAGUUUCCCCCUUGGGAAAAGGCAGGAAGGAAGAACAUGGGAUUGUGCCAAGCUCUAAAUGAGUCAAAAUAGAUAAACAUCUGUUUGUAGAACUGCAAACCACCGUACGAUUGUGCCUUUUAUCGUAACACGUGCUACAGCCGGGUGACAGUAAAUGUAGGACAAGCAUCCCGCUCUAGCACCUUAGGGGGGAUGCGUCAGCUCACAACUUUAAUAAAGUGACUCGCUCUGCAGUCUAUGGACGAACGCUUCGUGCCCCCCCAAAUUUGUGUGUUGAAGCCCUAACUCCCACGGAUUUGGCUGGAUUUGGAGGUGGGGUGAAGAAACGAAGGUCAAAGGCAGCCGCUGGGUGGGCCCCGGCACAGCAGCCUUGCUGUCCUUACGAAGGGAGACCUCCAGGAGCGGCUCUGUCCCCGCGUCCCCGAGCGCAUGGAGAAGGGGGCCAUUCGCGCCCUCACCAGGACCCGAAGCAGCUGGCACCUCGAUCGGGGCCCCGCGUGAAUCUCAGUGCCCGGCCUGCGGCAUUCUGCGGCUACCCAAGCCUGCAAUACAACAAGCAUUUAUAAAUAAUAAGUCACAGAAAGAGAAGGAAAACCCCAGUUUGAAAAUUCAGGUCCACAUGAGGCCGUUGGGCCGUGACUGAGGACCGCGGACGAAGUCCCAGGGACCAAGUGAAGACGGCGCACGGCGUCCUGAGCCGCACCAGCACACGUGGUGGCCCCGUCUCGGCUGCCGAGCCAGAGCCGGCCACGUGUGCGGGCUGGCCGCUGCCACCAUCCCUCCGGGGCGUCCCCGAGAGGACGAAGGCUGUGUCACCGGCACUGCCACACCCGGUGUCCAGCCAGGCUGUUCUCCCCGGCAUCAGAGCAGCCUGCUGUCUUGACCCCAUAGGAUUUCGCGCGCUCCUGACACACGUUCACUGAAAGAGGGGCGUUCUGCAGUCCACGGAGAAGAGAGAUCUCUCUGGGGCCCUGGGAACCAGGAAAAAAAAAUCGCAGAGUGUCAUUUUUGACUUUGACUUUGAAAUGGCAAUGUGCACAUUGUGCUGCCUCAAGCAUCUGAGACCCCAACAGGAUCACAGGAAAAUCCUGGAAAUUAAUGUGACUAUUUCAUCUUCUACUGAGACAACUUUAUUUUCAACUACAGCAAUCUUUCCUUUCCUUUUUUUCUUUCUUUCUUUCUUAUUUUUUUUACAUUGUGAGUUUUUUUUUUAACCAGCAUUUCUAAUGAGUGACAUGCAAAUGAAGAUUGUGUCAGUCGUAGAAAACAUGAAUAUUUAUUAUUGGCUUCUCCUCCUGCCUGGCACUGGGGCCAACCUGCAGCCAGGCUUCCUGUCUCCCGUUGGUGCUCAGCCCGUAGGGUGGCGGGUGCCAGCCCUUCUGUGGUGGGAUCUGACACACAGGGGUGGUCGGUGGUGGAGUCUUCCCAUCCCACAGAGCAGACACUGAGUCCUUACAAACUCUUUGUUCCUCCAAACCACAGCCCCCAUCCAGCUGUCCGUCCCCACGCAGCCCUCACCUCCCCAGCGCUCCUGGGGGACAGCUCAACCCAGGGCCUCGCGUGCUCACACUGACAGAGCUAAGAGCUUCCACCAGGAAAGAAUGAGCCAGGGAAAGACUCUGAACGUGGGGCUUGGGGCGCUGGGCUUGUCCUCCAGCGAGUGGCCUCGGUGAGAAGCUAAGGAGCGGCACACCAGGCUUGGGCUGGGGUGGUUUCAGUGGGAAGCAGAAGGUGAUCCAGGGCUAACGGUGAAAUGCUUGCUCUGUGCUCUCUAGCGACUUCAAUUAAGCGGGCGUGAGCUAAUAAACAGAGAACGGACAGGUUCAAGUAGAUGCCGGUCCUUGGAGGAAGAGGCACAGGGCAUGUCUAUUUUUAAACAUACCUCAAAUUUGAAGUUUGUAAUUGCUAGGGGUAGACCUGCGCCCCUGCCGGUCUCAAGUUCUGAGCCCUGUACCUGGGAAGUGACCUCAUUCAUGGGGUCUUUGUGGACAUUAGCAAGUUAGGAUGAGGCCAUUAGGUGGGACCCUUGUUCAGUGUGACUGAGUCCUUACGAGAAGGGGAAAUGCCAUGUGAGGGCCCAGGGGGUGACCCAGGCAGGCGCUGGGGUGGGGCAGCUGGGAGGAGGAGGCCCCUGACAGAAGGGCAGAGGGCGGGGAGUGGACCCUCCCCUCCGCUCCUCCUGGAGAGUGCGGCCCUGCCCACACCCAGACCUUUGGCCUUCAGAACUGGGAGGGGAUGGGUUUCUGUUGCUCUCAGCCACCCAGGCUGUGGUCCUUUGUUGGGCGGCACCAGGACACCAAUCCAGCCCCUACAGCCAGUGAACUCCUGGACUGAAAUGAACUCGAACUUGUGGCCGAUGUGGGGUGACUCAGCUUUAGAUGUUUUUCAUUGGCAGCUUUGGAAAUAGUUUGAGAGAGCACAGAAGAGCAUAACAUGGCCCCUGUGUGCGCAACACUAAAGAGAAUUAAAAUCUGUUUUGUUUGGGGCUUCCUGCUGAAAUCCCAGUUUAAAAAUCAGAGGUCUAUAAAAUUGGCUCCUUUGUUCUCAGAAGACUCUCAUUGACUGAUGCCACACCAGCAACGGUACACUGGCCGAUGGGAGGCGCUUCGUCGCUGGACCUUUCCGGAACAACGCCCCGGACCACUCCCAUGCCUGGUGGUCCCUGUCCGGCCUCUUGGGAAGCUGAAGGGGUUUAGGUGUUGAUCCUACUGCCUUCCUGGGUUUUUGGCAGAACACCGUGUGUGUUACCCCCUCACUCUUUCUCAACCAGCGUUCCGGCUCCAGAAUCAGACCGCCUUGGCUGAAAGCAGACGAUGUAACUCGUGGCACGUCCAGAGCUCAUUCCGACCAGCCUCCUUUCCAACGUGCUGAUCCCCUGGGAGAGGCGGGGAGUCAGCGUGUCCCUGGACGCUCAGCCCUGACCUUCCCAAGGCGCAUCUCUGGCAGGUCCCACCCACUAAUGCAAACUUGGGUGAUUUGAUGCCAGCUUUCUUGUUCCCACACUUGCAGGGCUGGGUCUGGGAUGAAAGGUCUGCACACACACUCCCUCGAAGCAGGUGCAUCCUGGGUUUCCAGGCGGACGCUGAUGUCAGCCCAGCGCCAGGCCCACACGUCCUGAGCUCCGCGCCCCACAGGGCUGUGGGAUGAAUGCUCGCUCUGUGAGCCUGCGACCUGGGCUGGGGAGGGGGGAAUCUGAUCCCCUUUGUUAAAGGUCCGGGGGAUGCCAGCUGCUGAUGGCCAGGGCGCAUGUCCAGAAUCAUCCUCUCCUAAGACUGGGUUUCUCUUGGCCUUUACCCACUCCUGGUCUGUAACCAGAUACCGCGACACAGAAAGGUUAGCCUUUCUGCUCGUUUUUCACUUGAAAGGCACUGUGAAACUAGAAUUUGAAAAGAAAAAAAAAUAUUUGUUUUUAGAUAGCACUCCCACCCCGGGGAAGUUUCUCCGGAUCUGACAACAUUAACUCAUUCCCUUCUAAUGUACGGGACACUUUUAUUCAGUACUUACUGCACACCAACAUGGCGCUAACCGCUUUUCUUCCAUUUUAUCAUUUAUAUUCACUAACGUUCUAUCAGAUAGGUUUUUACUGCCAGCGUUUAAUAGAUGCAAAGACAGACUCAGAAAGGGGAUGUACGAUGUGGCAGGUGGUAAGGCUAGCUACCUACAGGAGUGAGGGCCUAACCAAGGAGGGAGGAGAGACAGAGAGCGACAGAGACAGAGCAGGGGCGACGGAUCGUGCCGUGGCCGUGCAGGGUGAGAGAGUGGAGCUGUGGCAAGGUGUUCUCAGCCCACGUUCCGUGUGGCUGCGUGUUGCUGGCAAAUCCUCUCUGCACGGUGUUCCUACUCUUUGAUGCUGCAGAUCCCAGACACCUGUGAAGGCCUGUCUCGAGCCACAGAGGUCAGGCCAGUGCAUCUCUAUCACCCUGACCCCUGCAGCCGGCCUGGAACCUGUCUGAGAAAGCAUAUUUACCUGCUUCGAAGCUUUUCCGCAGAGAUUUCACUCCUCAGCCAUCGAGGAGCCGCAGCCCAGUCAUCAUGUGAUGCUUUCCCACUCGUGGUCCACGGGCCUCUCCACAGAGCCUGACACGAGGCUGGGCCUGCAGGUGCGGGAGGUGCAGGAAGGGCAAGGUGACGGUGACCUUCCUGUCUGCCCUUCCCGUGCUCCCUGGAGAGAAGGCCUACGGGUGUGUGUGCGCGAGACUUCACCUGUCAGUUUAGAGGAAAUAGAGCAAAACCCGUGCACUCCCAUUUCCUCCAGAAGCCCUGCUGUGGGCCCCAGCAAGGCCAGUGCGCUCGUCCCCGCCAGGCCCCAGAUCUCAGACACGCGGACUCCAGGACCAGAAACACCCUCCUACCCUUUCAAACCCCGGUCUGUGCAAAGUGUCACGGCGGCCCUGAGAAACGAGUGUGCCGAUCUUCUUCGACGGACGAGGGGGCGACCUCCUGGUAAACCUGUGUCGGCCGUGGACUUCCGUGGUCACGUGGCUGGCUCAUAACUGCCAUUUCAGAGCCACGGCCCAGCGUCCGAGUGAGGAUCGGACCGCGUGCCUCUCGCCCGGGACAAGAUCCAAAUUCAAAGCUCCAAGUACGAUUUGUGGUGAAAUGCUUUGAUUUUGCACUGCCGUGAAGUCCAAACACCGUCAAGGUGACCCGUUGUGAAGCCAUGGGCGUCUGUGGUAGGAAAACUGUGAAUAAAAGUGUAUUUAGGAACAUUGUCACCUAAAUUAAUGUUUAUUUUCUGUUCUACAUUAACACGUAUUCGCUGUGCAAACUCAGUUUUAAAACAAGCCCCUUCGCCUGCCUUCCGGUCAAAGGGCUGCCCCCCAGCCUAAGCCCUUUGGGGAGAGGCACUGGAGCCACGGCCACGAGGAGCCACGGCCGCGGGUUUGUGGACCGUGCCCCGAGGCGCAUGGCGCUGCGAGAGAAACCGCCCGGCCACCUGGAUCCGGAGGGAGAAUGAAUAUUGACGAGCACUGUGUGCCUCUCGCGCUCGGACGUUGAACCUGGUGAACACACCUUCCUCUUGGCUCCUGGGAAGCAGGUCUGCCUCAGUGGGUCCUUGGCCCCCAAGGUUCGUGGUUUAAACUGUGGACUCUAAAGGCCUGGAGACUGCCUCCCGGGCUGGGCCAGGCUUGGACCUCAAGCGCUUCCAGGCCAUUCUGAUGGGCGCUGAAGGUUGGAGCUGCGGCUGCAGACUCCCAGGGCCCGGCCCGGCUGAGGGACCCCAGGUAGAACCGGGCCAGCGCCAUGCAGAGACCCCCACGGGGGUGCGCCCACAGCCCACGCAGGACACGGUCAUGUGACGAGCUCCCUCACAGUGGAGAAGGAGCUAAUUCAAGUUGUGCGGGAGGAAAAGGGCUUGGUGAUCUCUCUGCAGGAAACUCUUCAAAAUGCUAGUCAUCAUCAGGCACUUAAUUAGCAAAAAGGCCUCGUUCGGAUGAGCCCCUGCUUUCAGCACAGUUUUGCUGCCUGAUGUUCUGUACGAAGUGAUGGGGCUGGAGAGGGAGCGAGUCUCCCGGCCUGCAGCAAGGUGCCCGCAAGCGCUGGGAGCUUGUCUGCUUGGGGCCAAGGCUACUGCCUCACAUCUUCUCCACAGCCACUGCGGGUCCAAACAACACCAAGGGUUGCUGUGAGGAUCCAUGGGGCUCAUGGAGCCUCAGGACCCGGCACGUACCUGGUGCUCAAGAAAGCGGCCAUGGCGACGGUUCACGUAUCAUUGUCCUGCUGCCUCCUCUCCCUGGCCCGGCCUGCCGGGGUCCGCGGCAAACAGCUGCAGCCUGAACCACUGUUUCCAGAAGGUCGGGUAGGAGCACGUGACCCUGUCCCCAAGACUUUCCUCGGCAGACAUGCUACAGCGUGGUACCUUCCAUCGUCCCACAAAGGCCUCAGGCGGCUCAAGGGCCAUAGGUCCACGUGCAAUCCCACUAUGCAACCCGCCGACUUGCGCGAGCAGCCUGCAUGCAGCCUCAGGCCCCGCCUGCAACAUCGGAACAGUGGCAGGGAGGCUGUGUGUCUCCCACUCAGGGGCGAGCUGUCCAGGGAGCUGCCCUGAGCUUGCCUGGCAGCUGGACCUGUCGUCUGCCCACAGUGCUGGCCCCGGAGCCUGGCUGCCUCCCUUUUGAGUCGCCUCCCAGGGGGCCCAGCGGUGACAGGCACCUGCUCUCCGGGUCGGGCUGCGCAGCCCCAGCCACCCUCCUGCAGUCCACGAGAGCCCUCCGGUAGACGCCUCCUUCCUGCCUUGAUGGAAUCCACAGGCGAAGUGGGGGGUUUGCCCUCCUAGGUGGCUGCAGGUUCCCUGGUCCCCGUGCCACCAAAAACAUCUUCAGACAAGACUGUCCUGAGAAGCGCCCCCGCUCGGGGCUGCCCUCGCCCUGCAGGCUCAUCUCCGCUCUGACGUGGGCCCUUUCCUGCCCCUCGGGGUCUUGCCAUGAGUUGACAUCAGAGGCCUCACGUUCCCCAGUGGUUGUCAGCACUUUCCCUGAGGGGACAGUGAAUCCGGGCCACCAGAGUGGACCUGGGGCUCCCAGGGCUACCCUGCCCAUCCUCGGAGGGCUGGCGGGGGCCUUAACAGCCGUGGGCAGCGAGUUUUCCCUAAGCCCUUGACCCGCUCGCUAUCGGAAACACAAAUGACCUCCGUUUACCUGGCUGAGAACAGAGGCACGGAAAGGGGGGAAGGGCGUAGGAGCUGGUGUACUUCCUGCCGAUCGGAAGUUGGAGCUGGGACGGAACCAGGCAAUCUGAGGCCAGACUCCUCACUCUUCCCAAAUCCCGAAUCCCGAAUCCUGAUGUCGCUGAUGCAAGUCCUUUGUCCCUGCGUGGAACUAUCUGUGGGAUGUUCUAGGUCAGAAUGCGUGGGCUGCGGCCAGCAGGUCAGGGGGCAGGGACCCACUCGCACCUAGAAGGCAUCAAGGUCUGUGCCUGUGCUCAGCUCCUGCCAUCUGGGGUGGUUUCGUCUGUGCAGAGGGGCCAUCGAGCCACCUCCACGGGGCCUGGUGACUGAUGAGAGGAGUCCGCACGUAGUCCCAUGGACGGGGCUCGCUCACGUGGGGACAGAGGCUGCAGGCGGCUGGCGGAGAGACGAGUCUGUGCUGCUUUUGGUGAUCCAUUUCAUUGCUGGCCGCAGGGUAGGGAUUUUGGUGCGAAAAAUUUAAUUUCAAACUAAGUCCUAUGAAAACUAUCUUCCAAGAGCUCCUAUCGUUGUGGCUAUUCUCAAUAAGGCAGCGAAGUUUCAUCAGUUCAUUAGGGUCUCAGUCAGUCCAAGUUCUGGGGGCUGGAAGUCCAAGCUCA